AUGAAGUUAACGGCGUCGAGAUCUGGUGACCACGGGGAAGAUCCCCGACCGACGUGCCACAAAGUUUCGGUCUCGUCACUUGCGGCGGCUCGGUUCAUCAGCUCAAAAAACAUUUUUAUACGUGAUGGUGCUCUCCCGGAUCUUGGUAUGGCGGUUGUUCUUCUCUUUUUCGGCGUUGUCAUGGUGGCGGUGGGGGACGUUUAUGGACUAUGUUCGGGCGAGGCACAAGUUUUUUCAAGGGUGAAAUAGUAAUUUUACUUCUUGCGGAAUUUUUUGUGCAAAGUUGCUUGA
rnacentral:rRNA from 1 species